GCAAGUCGAGGGGCAGCAUCAUUAAAGCUUGCUUUGAUGGAUGGCGACCGGCGCACGGGUGAGUAACACGUAUCCAACCUGCCGACAACACUGGGAUAGCCUUUCGAAAGAAAGAUUAAUACCGGAUGGCAUAGUUUUCCCGCAUGGGAUAAUUAUUAAAGAAUUUCGGUUGUCGAUGGGGAUGCGUUCCAUUAGGCAGUUGGCGGGGUAACGGCCCACCAAACCAACGAUGGAUAGGGGUUCUGAGAGGAAGGUCCCCCACAUUGGAACUGAGACACGGUCCAAACUCCUACGGGAGGCAGCAGUGAGGAAUAUUGGUCAAUGGACGAGAGUCUGAACCAGCCAAGUAGCGUGAAGGAUGACUGCCCUAUGGGUUGUAAACUUCUUUUAUACGGGAAUAAAGUGAGCCACGUGUGGCUUUUUGUAUGUACCGUAUGAAUAAGGAUCGGCUAACUCCGUGCCAGCAGCCGCGGUAAUACGGAGGAUCCGAGCGUUAUCCGGAUUUAUUGGGUUUAAAGGGAGCGUAGGCGGGUUGUUAAGUCAGUUGUGAAAGUUUGCGGCUCAACCGUAAAAUUGCAGUUGAUACUGGCGACCUUGAGUGCAACAGAGGUAGGCGGAAUUCGUGGUGUAGCGGUGAAAUGCUUAGAUAUCACGAAGAACUCCGAUUGCGAAGGCAGCUUACUGGAUUGUAACUGACGCUGAUGCUCGAAAGUGUGGGUAUCAAACAGGAUUAGAUACCCUGGUAGUCCACACAGUAAACGAUGAAUACUCGCUGUUGGCGAUAUACGGUCAGCGGCCAAGCGAAAGCAUUAAGUAUUCCACCUGGGGAGUACGCCGGCAACGGUGAAACUCAAAGGAAUUGACGGGGGCCCGCACGAGCGGAGGAACAUGUGGUUUAAUUCG
rnacentral:rRNA from 1 species